CCAAUCGGCGUCCGGGGGAGUGUCUGUAGGUUGGGCCGCUGGUGUUUGCGCUAUGGAAAAUCGUUACUGUGGGAUACGCCGCAGAUAAACGUGCGCUCGUGGGGCCGACUGUGGCGGCGAAGGGGACAACCGUGGCAGGCCGAGCUCUCACGAAGGAGCGGUUGGACCAACGACACCUCAGCGGCUUUGGAGGGGAACAAUCUCCGCGAUAAACACAUGGCGGGCCUUAGGCACACUCAGACUUUCGAGGCUUCCUCCCCAGGGAACCGGUUUCAGAUGGUGUGUUAGAGUGUAAAGUCCCAUCUAGCACCAUUUGAAAUCGGUGUUCUUGAGCAGGAACACACUUCGGGGGGCUUGCACAGCAAAGGCGUCUCAUCAGCCUCACCAAGGUUGACCGUUUUCCUCUGGUGUUCAGAGUUGCCAUCAUGUCUAGCACCAUUUGAAAUCGGUUACAAUGUGGAGGGAAGCUCAAGCCAUGCAGCUUUGUUGAUGUGCUGCCUUACAAGGCCAACAGGUGGCAGCCUUGUGACAUCAUCGCGGCUGCUCAAUGGUACACUUCAUUUACACAUUUUUAUUGAAGUAUUUUUGUUGUUUUACUCAGCUGUGGUAAAAUGUAUAUGAAAUUUUCAUGCUCACACUUUUUUUCACUUCAUUAAAUAUUUCAAAUGUCAAGCUGAAAUAUGACUGAUUUUUGCAAGUUGACAUAAACAGGCAAUUCUUUGGGAGGGGAGACUAGAAUUAAGAAUUGAUUCAAAACAUGUUUAGUCAUACUAUUAGUGGGAAUACUGUCACUAAAUAUUUGUAUUCAAGCAUGAGUGCUGUUAUUUUUGUAAAAUCUGACGUAAAUAAAAGUAGUCCUUAAAAUAAUUAUGAUAUGAUAUCCAAUUGCACUUGCUUGACCCUUAUGCCUCUUUUUAUCUAUGUGAUGGUGUUAUUUAUAUUUUACAGUCCUAUCUAUGCUGGUAAGCCUUUUAUUUUAGAGAGUGAUUAAUUCAUUUUAAAAUAAUACUCAACACUUAAUGCUAUAACAAAUGACGUAAGUGUCAAACUCUGCACAACAGUGUUGAUUCAUUGCUGAUGAACCUCUGGAGAGUUAUAUUUUUAGACAACUUGUAAAAAUAGGGAACGAUGAUGGAUGAUGCCGUGCUACUUUUAAGUUACAGCUCUGUCUUCGCACUCCCGUGAAUCAUUUUCCCCUGCACUGACUCCUCCCUUGCAGAUUCACUCCUUACUCUUACCCAAACAUGGCCCACAUUCAGAGAUCCGUCACAGCUUCAUACCCAAUUUUCCGGUUUGCCUUCACUCUCCUCCUAAUCGUACCGAUACCCAUGUCAAACAAUGCAGGAUACAUACAGGAGACGGAGAGAGAAAUAUCCAGCUCCACCCCUCAUGUAGGCUUUGUUCGCAUGAUAAAACCCUGGCAAGUCUUAUAUCGUUGCAAAAUCAACACGAAACCAGCUCACCUCAAAGCUUAUGUGAGUCACAGGGAGUUCCUCAAUCAAGCAUGACUACCAAACAUUUUACAGUCAGAUUUUCCUUUCUUGGCAUCUCAAGAAAAACCUCAAGAUGU